rnacentral:rRNA from 1 species
CCUACGGGUGGCACCAGUGAGGAAUAUUGGACAAUGGGUGGAAGCCUGAUCCAGCCAUCCCGCGUGCAGGAAGACGGCCCUAUGGGUUGUAAACUGCUUUUAUCUGGGGAUAAACCUACUUACGUGUAAGUAGCUGAAGGUACCAGAAGAAUAAGCACCGGCUAACUCCGUGCCAGCAGCCGCGGUAAUACGGAGGGUGCAAGCGUUAUCCGGAUUUAUUGGGUUUAAAGGGUCCGUAGGCGGACUAGUAAGUCAGUGGUGAAAUCCGACAGCUUAACUGUCGAACUGCCAUUGAUACUGCUAGUCUUGAGUAAGGUUGAAGUGGCUGGAAUAAGUAGUGUAGCGGUGAAAUGCAUAGAUAUUACUUAGAACAAUAAUUGCGAAGGAAGGUCACUAAGUCUUAACUGACGCUGAUGGACGAAAGCGUGGGGAGCGAACAGGAUUAGAGACCCCCGUAGUC